AAAUCUUACAAAAAUACCGUCCUAGGCUUGGUGCUGGCGAGGACGCCAGUGUUGUGAAGCGGACUGAGCCGCCCAGCGGCCUGGGUAGAGCCCAGUCAGGGCCGAGCUUCCGGCCGAGCACUGGGGGCUCACACCUCGGGGCUCGUACACUGUGUCUUCGUGGUGGACAGAGUUUGCUUUGCUUUCUGCCAAUCACACCGUUGGGACCUGUCUGAACCGUUUUCAGUAUCUUUGCUCCUCCUGUCUUGGAGCAGCUCUGAACAUCCCGCCCUGGGAGCAUGACAGUUGUUUGACUACAAACCUGGAGAUAAGAAGGAGGGCUGUGUAAUGAUAGUUGAACCUGGGGUCAAAAGAGCUGCUUCCAAACUUAACGUUGAGAAGGAAGUGCCCUGUGGAGUGUUCUUUGCUCUGUAAGCCUAUGAAUCUGCUGAGACCGGUCUAUUUUCGAUGCCUCUGAAAACCUGUCUGUAACUGAACCAGGCCUGUGCUCCCUUUGAGGGGAAAUUUCUGUGAUCUCCAAACACUGGCAUUAAAGCUGUUCACUUUCCCUGUCUUUGCCACCUACCACUGCUUCUUAAUUCCUUCCCCCGCGUCCCCCGCCGUUUUAAAAAAACUUACCAAGCUGGGCUUCUGAAACAUUGUGCAAAAGGCCUUCAUGAACUUGUGGACACAGAAUUGAAUAACAAAAAACCGAAAUCGGAAAAUGUGAUGCCACCAGGGAAGAUGGUGGUUAUGGAUGGAACCUCAUCACAUAUUCAGAGUGGCCUGGAUUUCAUCAGUAUCUCCAGCUGACUCAUCCUGCUGAAGGAGGCUGGAGAAGGACCAGGGACGAUACUGUGAAUGCUGUCUCAGAGCUGUAGGGAAGAAAUGAGUGGCACUUCUUGCUUAGGGUCCCAGAGUCAUGACUUUCUGAUUAAUGCUCUCAACACCUAGCAAAUCAGCACCAGCACCGGGCUUUGUGAGUGGCGGACAUGAAUGUCAUUCCAGGAAGAGAUUCAGAAUGAAAACAUUGAACGGGAAGUCACGUAGGGGUUACGAAUAUGGGCUCAGGUGUCAGGCUUCCUGGAGUCCAGUCCAGCAUCCAUCUCUUCUAGCUGUGUGGUUUUUACUUAAACUCUCUGAAUCUCAGUUUCCUCAUCAGUAAAUUAAGGAGAAGAGACUCCACCUCAGUGGGUUGUUGUGAGGAUUAAAUAAGAUGAUGCAUGCAAAGCACAUUCAGUCAACAUUGACCAUUCAUAUAGAUGCAGUCCUCAAAGUUAAUAAAUGUGAUCAAUUUGAGAA